CUUAUGAGGUUGUUCUUCAAAGGUUCAGGCGUUUCACCUACACGCAUUUAGCACAGUUAAAAUACAUUCUACCUGAAGCUAUAAGUCUCAAGAAGAUUCUUGUUCAUGAUGAGCGUACUUGCUGCAUGAAGCCAGAGCUUCAAGUUAAUUUGCAAGUUGAUGCUGUCGAAAAGAUCAUCAAGGGAAAAAGUGAAACUGGGUAUACAGUCUUAAGGACUGUUUUCAGAGAAAGGCUUCUUGGUUUCGUCAAUGAACAUCCAGAGGGAGAAACGGUGCCAGAGGAGGUACAUCUGAUCCUUUGCUUCCUUCUUCCAGUAUUGUUGUUGCUGAGAUGUAGGAAGUGAUUUGUCGUGUUUGAUCCAUCUGUUCUACGAGUCCUUUGAUGAGUCAUUUGAGGGGCGGUGGAUCGUUUCCGACAAGGCGGACUACCAAGAUGAGUCUGUGGACAAUGUCCAUAGAUCUAGAAAUGACGAACAAGAAGCAUGAGGGAUUAGGAAAUCUACAAGCUCUGAUCCAUCAAUGGUUUGGGAUCAGCCGAAAUCUGGCCAUUUCAAGCGAGUCCUGGUCAAAUCUUGAAAACCAUUUAUAUGCUUAUCAGAUCCUCAUGAAUCCUCUUGAAUUUAUUCUUUCCAGACUAAACAAGGAGAUGAUUGAUACUUUGUUUGGCAGAAAGACAACAAUGGCCACAAAGGGGAUUGCUGGUUGUCCAUUAGAUCCUUCCUUGGCCCAAGAAAGCAGGAUCCUUGAUCCUAACAAAUCUCAGAAAAUUUCAAAUUUGCUAAAGGAUUUUAAUUUGAUGAAAGAAAAUGUCUCUGAGGCUAUCUUAGAAGGUAAAGCUGAUAGUUUGGGGAAAAAUGUUUUGGAGGCGCUUAAGGAAAUGAUUCCAAGCAGAGAUGAAGAGAUCAAAUUGAAACAAUAUAAAGAGAAACCACCUCUGAAUCUUGGUCCAGCUGAAAGCUUCUUGAAGUCAGUGAUUAGUAUCCUGUAUGCAUUUAAGAGAGUUGUUGCCCUGCUUUACAUUUCUAAUUUUGAUUCAGAGGUCAAUUACCUAAAUGAUCUUUUCAGGACUCUCAAGAAGAAUAGGACAUAUUGCUGGCAGAUUGUUCUAAUACAAGUUGCAUAACACCUAGUUUUCUAUCAAAGAAGUUGAGCAAGCAAGUAAAAAUUACCAGCAAAAGGUAAGAGAACUGGAGAAUCAAUUAAAUGGUGAGAGGACAACCAAGAAGGAUUGUAAAGUUCCCAAAGCCUCCAGUGGCUCCUUUAAGAUAGAGGCCUCAUUUACAAAGAAUCACCAAUCAGUUGUCACCCUCAGGACAUAAAACAAGCAGAGGUGCCCAUCAAGUAAUAGAUAAAGAGAAUUGUCUAUUAACAAAUAAAACUACUGGGGAAGAUUUAGUUAAAUCUUUGCACAGAGCAAGAAGGAUAACGUUGGCACCAGUAAGAAGAAUAUUU